AGGGCUUGACAUAUCGACGAAAGAUUUAGAGAUAAAUCCCCUCUUCGGAGCGUUGAUACAGGUGGUGCAUGGUU
rnacentral:rRNA from 1 species